rnacentral:rRNA from 1 species
UACGAAGGGGGCUAGCGUUGCUCGGAAUCACUGGGCGUAAAGGGUGCGUAGGCGGGUCUUUAAGUCAGGGGUGAAAUCCUGGAGCUCAACUCCAGAACUGCCUUUGAUACUGAAGAUCUUGAGUUCGGGAGAGGUGAGUGGAACUGCGAGUGUAGAGGUGAAAUUCGUAGAUAUCGAGAGGAACAUCGGUGGCGAAGGCGGCCCUCUGGACGGUGACUGACGCUGAGGCACGAAGGCCAGGGGAGCAAACGGG